GUGGGGAAUAUUGCACAAUGGGCGAAAGCCUGACGGAGCAAUGCCGCGUGAAGGAUGAAGGCCUAUGGGUUGUAAACUUCUUUUCUCAGAAAAGAAUUAUGACGGUAUCUGAGGAAUAAGCAUCGGCUAACUCUGUGCCAGCAGCCGCGGUAAGACAGAGGAUGCAAGCGUUAUCCGGAAUGAUUGGGCGUAAAGCGUCUGUAGGUUGUUUAAAAAGUAUUCUGUCAAAGAUUAGGGCUUAACCCUAGAUAGGCAGAAUAAACUUGUAAGAUAGAUUGUGCUAGAGGCAGAGGGAAUUCCCGGUGGAGCGGUGAAAUGCGUAGAUAUCGGGAGGAACACCAAAGGCGAAGGCACUCUGCUGGGCCAAUACUAACACUGAGAGACGAAAGCGAGGGGAGCAAAUGGGAUUAGAAACCCUGGUAGUCC
rnacentral:rRNA from 1 species